rnacentral:rRNA from 1 species
AUGGGUGCAUGCGGCUCCGCCCUCCUGCACCUCCACACGCCGCCCGCACACGCCAUCAACCGCUCCUGCUGCCUCCAGGCUGCUCUCCCCGUCCAUCACGAGCUCAACCCCCUGCUGACCCGUCGGCCUUGUUGCCCCUCUUGGCGCUGUCAAGACCCGGAAACCAGGGAGGCCAAGAGUGUCUUCAUGGAUUCGACAAGUACCUACACCGGCAAGACUACACGGACGUUCAUUCCACUACAGCACUGA